GGGAUGAGCUCAAGCUUAAAAUCUCCGUGCAAUUUUUGCGCGGCGAAUUGUAGUCUAUAGAAGCGUGGUCAGUAUGGGCACUUGGGUUAAGUUCCUUGGAAGAGGACAGCAUGGAGGGUGAUACUCCCGUUCGUCCCCAAGUUGCUUGUGCGUACGACCCGUUUUCUUUGAGUCGCGUUGUUUGAGAAUGCAGCGCAAAGUAGGUGGUAAAUUCCAUCUAAAGCUAAAUAUUGGUGCGAGACCGAUAGCAUACAAGUACCGUGAGGGAAAGAUGAAAAGAACUUUGAAAAUAGAGUUAAAGAGUACCUGAAACUGCUGAAAGGUAACCAAAUCGUUUCCAGUGUCUAUAAUCCGUGGUAUAUUUCAUUGGCGAGUGUAUGCGUGCGUGUGCUGUUGCAGUGGCCUUUUGGCUGCGCUCGGCGUGUGUGUUGUGUGUGCUUGCUGGUGCCCUGUGCUGUGGUGGGACGUCAAGGUCAGUUCGUAUGCUGCGGGAAAUGGCCACUGAGGAGGUAGGGCUUACGCUUGCGUUUGUCUGUUAUAUCUUGGUGGACGAGUAGUCGCGGUUGGGACUGAGGUGCCUACAACGUGCUUUUGAGUGGAUUUGGGUCUCCGUGUGCGCCGUGUGCGGAUAGCUUGCUAUGCGUGUGUGGCUGUGUAUGGAUUGAUGCGAGUCGUAACUUGUAGCCGUUCGGGACGUUGACG
rnacentral:rRNA from 1 species